UGAACGCUGGCGGCGUGCCUAACACAUGCAAGUCGAGCGAUUACUUCGGUAAAGAGCGGCGGACGGGUGAGUAACGCGUGGGUAACCUGCCUCAUACACAUGGAUAACAUACCGAAAGGCAUGCUAAUACAGGAUAAUAUAAGAGAUUCACAUGGAUUUCUUAUCAAAGCUCCGGCGGUAUGAGAUGGACCCGCGUCUGAUUAGCUAGUUGGUAAGGUAAUGGCUUACCAAGGCGACGAUCAGUAGCCGACCUGAGAGGGUGAUCGGCCACAUUGGAACUGAGACACGGUCCAAACUCCUACGGGAGGCAGCAGUGGGGAAUAUUGCACAAUGGGCGAAAGCCUGAUGCCAGCAACGCCGCGUGAGUGAUGAAGGCCUUCGGGUCGUAAAACUCUGUCCUCAAGGAAGAUAAUGACGGUACUUGAGGAGGAAGCCCCGGCUAACUACGUGCCAGCAGCCGC
rnacentral:rRNA from 1 species